AUUUAUUCCUGGGUACUGAUCCGUCAGAAUCAUACCAAUUUCAUUGCUAUCCGAUACGUUUUUAACGAGUUUUAUAAAGUCGUAUGCGUAUCUUGUAAAAUGGUCGACCAGGAGAUGCAAGUAUUUUUUUGUUGAUCUGGAUCCUCCAAAACCUCCCACCGUAUCUAUGGAGACUAUGUCAAAAGGAUCCGCAGUCGAACCCAAAUAAGAUAUUAAGCCGAAAUUUUGUUGACCUCUCGAUUUAUUUCUUAAGCAGAUUUCACAGUGUUGGAUAACCAACGCCACUAAUCAUAACACAAACACUAUAGAUUCAUCCUCAGCCAAACAUCCUAAACCACGAUUCCUAAUCUUUACUCAUCCUGCACUUCGUUCCUUUCCUUAGUCACACUGUUCCUUGACAUCUCCCCUAUUCCUGAUUCAUCCUGCACUUCGUACCCUGACCAUCGUCCCUAUCCCUUACUCAUCCUGCACUUUGUACCUUUCCGUAGUCACACUGUUCCUCGACUUAAUAUAUAGGCGGGACAAAUUGUAUACUUUAAAUGUUAAUAGCUUUUUUGCUACGCACUAGCAGCCAACGCAAAUGAUGAGAAAUAAAAACAAGCGGCGACGACAAAACACUAACGAAACCAAACUAAAAGUGGUGGGAUAGAGGAGAAGAAGUGAGGGAAGGAAAUGAGAGAAACAAACUUUCGCACUUUAACGAUACGGAAACCGUUAAUGUGCAUAUUACCUAGGUAAAGUGCGAAAAGCUCUUGAUUCCGCACAUUAACGGAGCAAAUCAGUUAAUCUGCAGAUUAACUAGGUAAUGUGCACAUUAACAGCUUUCGCACUUUAGCGGUAACACAUACAUAGAGUAAUCGUUAUAAAGUAGUAUUUAUCUCAUUACAUCAAGAAGAAGAGCACAUAAUCGAGACCCAUCAAUAAACAAUAUCUGUUCACACAUUGAUGGGGAAAUUACAACCAAAAAAUUAUAGAGCAGAAAAAUUGAAUAGAUACAUUAAGGAAAUUAACCAGCGUAGAAUGAAAUACUAGGACAAAUAUCAAAAAUGUACUCUGAAAAUACAUGCAGUUACUUUCUCGCAAGAUAUAUCUGAAAAUAUAUUUAAGCAUUUAUUCAGACAUUGAUGAGGAAAUUACAACAAAGAAUUUAUGGAGUAGAAAAAUUUGAUACAUACAGUGAACAAAUUAUCCAAGGAAGAGGAUUAUUAAAUUAGAUAAGUUUGUCUUCCAAAUCAUGGACUAUAAAAACAAUGUAA